rnacentral:rRNA from 1 species
GACGAACGCUGGCGGCGUGCUUAACACAUGCAAGUCGAACGGAAAGGCCCUGCUUUUGUGGGGUGCUCGAGUGGCGAACGGGUGAGUAACACGUGGGUAACCUGCCCUUGACUUUGGGAUAACCUCAGGAAACUGGGGCUAAUACCGGAUAGGAGCUCCUGCUGCAUGGUGGGGGUUGGAAAGUUUCGGCGGUUGGGGAUGGACUCGCGGCUUAUCAGCUUGUUGGUGGGGUAGUGGCUUACCAAGGCUUUGACGGGUAGCCGGCCUGAGAGGGUGACCGGCCACAUUGGGGCUGAGAUACGGCCCAGACUCCUACGGGAGGCAGCAGUGGGGAAUAUUGCACAAUGGGCGGAAGCCUGAUGCAGCAACGCCGCGUGCGGGAUGACGGCCUUCGGGUUGUAAACCGCUUUCGCCUGUGACGAAGCGUGAGUGACGGUAAUGGGUAAAGAAGCACCGGCUAACUACGUGCCAGCAGCCGCGGUGAUACGUAGGGUGCGAGCGUUGUCCGGAUUUAUUGGGCGUAAAGGGCUCGUAGGUGGUUGAUCGCGUCGGAAGUGUAAUCUUGGGGCUUAACCCUGAGCGUGCUUUCGAUACGGGUUGACUUGAGGAAGGUAGGGGAGAAUGGAAUUCCUGGUGGAGCGGUGGAAUGCGCAGAUAUCAGGAGGAACACCAGUGGCGAAGGCGGUUCUCUGGGCCUUUCCUGACGCUGAGGAGCGAAAGCGUGGGGAGCGAACAGGCUUAGAUACCCUGGUAGUCCACGCUGUAAACGGUGGGUACUAGGUGUGGGGUCCAUUCCACGGGUUCCGUGCCGUAGCUAACGCUUUAAGUACCCCGCCUGGGGAGUACGGCCGCAAGGCUAAAACUCAAAGGAAUUGACGGGGCCCCGCACAAGCGGCGGAGCAUGCGGAUUAAUUCGAUGCAACGCGUAGAACCUUACCUGGGUUUGACAUGGAUCGGGAGUGCUCAGAGAUGGGUGUGCCUCUUUUGGGGUCGGUUCACAGGUGGUGCAUGGCUGUCGUCAGCUCGUGUCGUGAGAUGUUGGGUUAAGUCCCGCAACGAGCGCAACCCUUGUUCACUGUUGCCAGCACGUUAUGGUGGGGACUCAGUGGAGACCGCCGGGGUCAGCUCGGAGGAAGGUGGGGAUGACGUCAAAUCAUCAUGCCCCUUAUGUCCAGGGCUUCACACAUGCUACAAUGGUCGGUACAACGCGCAGCGACACUGUGAGGUGGAGCGAAUCGCUGAAAGCCGGCCUUAGUUCGGAUUGGGGUCUGCAACUCGACCCCAUGGAGUCGGAGUCGCUAGUAAUCGCAGAUCAGCAACGCUGCGGUGAAUACGUUCCCGGGCCU